rnacentral:rRNA from 1 species
UACGAAGGGUGCAAGCGUUAAUCGGAAUUACUGGGCGUAAAGGGUGCGUAGGCGGUUAGUUAAGUCUGUUGUGAAAUCCCCGGGCUUAACCUGGGAACUGCGUUUGAAACUACAAGGCUAGAGUGUGGCAGAGGGGGGUGGAAUUCCACGUGUAGCAGUGAAAUGCGUAGAGAUGUGGAGGAACACCGAUGGCGAAGGCAGCCCCCUGGGUUAACACUGACGCUCAGGCACGAAAGCGUGGGGAGCAAACAGG